CGGAUUGUAGUCUGCAACUCGACUACAUGAAGCUGGAAUCGCUAGUAAUCGCGAAUCAGAAUGUCGCGGUGAAUACGUUCCCGGGUCUUGUACACACCGCCCGUCACACCAUGGGAGUCGGUAACACCCGAAGCCUGUAGUCUAACCGUGAGGAGGACGCAGUCGAAGGUGGGAUUGAUGACUGGGGUGAAGUCGUAACAAGGUAAC
rnacentral:rRNA from 1 species